AUUGCAAGUUCAAGGCCAUAGCACAAGUACUCAUGGCACCACCUGUCAGAUUCCAAUGAAUCUGCAAGUUCUGCU
rnacentral:ribozyme from 1 species